UACGGAGGGUGCGAGCGUUAAUCGGAAUUACUGGGCGUAAAGGGUGCGUAGGUGGUAAUAUAAGCUAGUUGUGAAAUACCUGGGCUUAACCUGGGGGAGCCAACUAGGACUGUAUAACUAGAGUAUGGUAGAGGGUAGCGGAAUUUCCGGUGUAGCGGUGAAAUGCGUAGAUAUCGGAAGGAACACUGGUGGCGAAGGCGGCUACCUGGUCUAAUACUGACACUGAGGCACGAAAGCGUGGGUAGCGAACAGG
rnacentral:rRNA from 1 species